UUUCCGUAGGUGAACCAGCGGAAGGAUCAUUAUUGUAUAACCGAGGUGCGAGGGCUGUCGCUGACCCGAAAGGUCGUGCACGCCCAAGUGCCCUCACACACAUCCAUCUCACCCCUAUGUGCACCACCGCGUGGGUCCCCCUUUGGCUUGUUCGGAGGGGGGCUUACGUUUUCACACAAACUUUGUAUGCAGUGUAGAAUGUAUUUUUUGUUUUUGCGAUCACGCAAUCAAUACAACUUUCAACAACGGAUCUCUUGGCUCUC
rnacentral:misc_RNA from 1 species